CGAGCGACCAGGCGACGGAGCCCCUCCUCCUCUGGCCUGCUAAAGGAUAAAGGCGUGCUGGACGUCUGCACUCGCCUUCCUCCUCCUCCUGGAAGCGGUUCCUCCGUCGCCAGCGGCAUCACAAGGACGGGGAGCCGACAUAAGGCAGGAGAGCUGCUGGCCUUGGCGAUAGAAGGUGCUGAAUUUAUAAAGAGAAGAAAACGGAAAAAUGGCCAUUUUGCAGCCACUGUUCCUAGGUAACCAUUUAUCGAAGAGCAGUGCUCAAAUUCUGCAGCAAGAACUAAAUUUUUCUCCGUAGAUCAAAGGCUGAUGUACACAUCUGGUGGAGAGAUACACAAAUGGUCAACAAUUUUGUCAUAUAGACUAUAAUAAGUGUUCUAAGCAGACUUUUUCAUGCUGAAUUUAAAAAUGAAGUCACAUUUAUUUUUCUAUCGGGCUUAGUUUUCUUGUGACCCUAUUAUUCCAUUCAAUUAAUGACAGUACUGUACUGUACUUUAACUAUGGUAGUAUAUUUGUAAUAAUCAGAUUUGUUUACUUUGGAGGGAUUAAAAAAAAUCCCAUUCAUGUUAUUUCUGCCUAACAAGCACAACAGAGAUCACCUCUAAAGUAAGCACAUGGUGAAAUACCCUGAUUUACCAUCUGCAGUGAUGCCAGUCCCACAUAGUAAGAAGUUGCCUGUACCAAAGCCCCUAGAAAAUGUGACAUUUAAUGACAGUGAAUCUAAUAAUGAUGGUGUAUAUGUAGAGCAGAAAAGGAAAACAUUAAUUCUGACCCAGCCUUUCAGGUUAUCUGCUUUUCAAAUGAGCCACAUUUGUUGUCACAAGGGGAUCUGAAUGAUCUCAUUCAUGAUUUGAAGCUGUCUAAGAAGCAGGAUGAACUUUAAGAUCAAAAUGAAAGGGUUGGGAUCUUCACCACCAUGAUACUAAAGUUUGUUUUUUUCUAUCUGCCAUGAUAAAUGUAACAAUUUCUUCUCCCAAGAAGAAGGACUAGUGUUUUGUAAAGAUGUUUGUUCAGUUAUAUGGAGAUUGUUGGCCAUGAACACAAUGUAAAUGAGUGAUGCUUAUUCUUUGGUUCCUUGAAAGGUCUCUUUCAUAAUAGAAAUACCUUACUGUCUGUAUGUUAGCCCCUGCUGCUGACAUGAAAGAGUCAUAAGAACAUGAAACUACUUUUGGAAAAGAUUCAGUGUGAAAAAUAUAAAUGGAGUGUCUGUGGAGAUCUGAAGGUCAUUGCACUUCUGCUUGGCCUGCAGUUUGGAUACACAAAGUACCAUUGUUUUUUGUGUGAGUGGAAGAGUAGGAAGAGGAAAAACUAUUACACUCAAAAAGAAUGGCCAAAACAUACCUCACCUGUUCUCAAACCUUUUGGGAAAUAAUAAAGCAGGAAACUCACAAAAUACUAGGCUAUGGGAUGUAACAUGCCAUUGAAAGUUCAGGACUCUUACCUGGACUUUUUCCCUGACAACCUCAGCACAGUCAGUGAUGAACAUGGUGAAUGAUUUCCCUGGGAUAUUUGAAACAUGGAAAAAACCAAGAAAAGUAGAGCCUCAGUAUGCUGGCUGACCACUACUGGACCUUUGGGAGAAAUGUUCCUGAGGUGAAAUCCAUCAGAUAAUUAAACAUUCCUUUUUUGAUUAACACUUUUGUGCUUUAAAUUGUAAAUAUAGGCUAUUAUCAAAAGUAAGUUAUGAAUCAUUCAAAAACCUUGCCUGAUACAAAAAUUCUGAAACAUAUUUGAAUUCAGCAUAAAAAAUACUAUUAAGACUAACCAGUGUUUUUGUGACACACAAAAUACUUUUAUUCCCCAUCCUUUCAGGUUAUUCUAUGCAACAUUGUUAAUUUCAAGUGUGAUUUUGAUUCCAUUUCAAGGGAAUCCGUAUGGGAAAAGCUCGUGGAUAUAACCAUGGAUAGAUGUUUGAUCCUGCUCAUCCAUAAGUUACAUGAAAAUACAAGUCUGCAUAUAAAAUGCAGUCCAAGAAGUUAAGCAAGGCUUAAAUAAGGAGGCACUUUUUAGUUUUUUGAAUAAAUUCCUAGUCAAGCAUCUCGAUUAUUUUUUCCAAGCUACCUAACAAGUAGCUGCCAAUUCUGCUAUAUUCUACAGAUGUGAUAGCUUUAUCCUAUUUUCAAAUUUAUCAUAGAGCCUUGAAAGCCCUUGCACAAUAUUUCUGUGAUAAGCGCUUCCAGGUCAAUUACUGGAAAACAGAUUAUGCUAUUUGCUAAGAGAUCUAGAGUAAGCAACCAACAAAUUCAGGGUAAUUACCUGCGCAUAGUUUUUCUGUCUAGAACGAGGGAAGGCACAGGUUAAUCAUGCUGUACUGACAUCUCAAAGGAAUGGUGCAGCAAUCCUAGGGUUCUUCCUCUCAAAAACUCCCCCCUCCCCCAUCAAAUUAUUUGCAACCAAAUGUUUGGUGCAGUUCCUCUUCGGAAUUCAGUUCACCCAUAUUCUAGCUGCACUUUGCUGGAAUCAGUUCAGAUUCAGAUGCCCAGAUAUAAAUACAAAUUUAUGACUAGAGUCGAGACUCCCUAGGGUGGAGAUUUAAGUUGGCUAGUAAUUUUCACUUUCCGGUUUAAGCUAAACUUUUGCCCAGAGGGCUUUUGACCCCUUAACAGUCCUUGGCAGUUUACUCAGUUUGGAAGAAAGCCUCAUUGUAUGCACUUUUGUCAUAUGGUCUUCCAUCGGAAACCUUAUUUCAAUAAAGCACAGAGUUUUAUCUCUUAAACGAGUUACGGAUCUAGGAUUCAAAAUUAUUUAAAUGUGAUGUGGAGCUAGCUAAUUAUUUCGCUAACUUGGAAUUGCAUGGGUAACACAGAGCCUUCUCUUGGGCGUAAUUUGAUGUAUGCCAUCUGUCUUAUUGGAGGUCUGGUUUAAUAGGAUUCUCUUUGAGAUAAACAGACCCAUGCAGGUCUGAUGCACUCAGAACACUAGCCACGCCUGCCUGUAUUGUGAGUAUUACAGAGACCUGCAGAGUAAGUUAUUUUCACCUUUUCUACAAAUGUUCCUGGUCAUCUAGGCUAUUACUGUAUCUCCUCUCUAUCAGGCACCAAAGCAAUAAAUACAUUGUAGGCAAAUUCUAACCAGCAGCAUGCAAAUUGUUGGUUUUUGACCAUAAUAAUAAAACAUUUUCCAUUGUCAUACAGAGUAGCUUAAUUAGACUGAUUUUUGAGGUUUUAUAGGAUAUGAGUUUUGAAUGCCUUUCAAAAGUAUUGUAGAACCAUUACUUUUUUAACUUAUUAAAGGGAUACCAAAAUGUUUCUGUCUAAGUUUUGACUAAGUAAGUACCAGAUGUGAAAUUUGGAUUUUAUAUCUUCCAGUAGUCUCUAAUGUGGCAUCAGCUCCUCAAAUGUUACAUAG